AGCGUACACGGUGGAUGCCUAGGCAGUCAGAGGCGAUGAAGGGCGUGCUAAUCUGCGAAAAGCGUCGGUAAGGUGAUAUGAACCGUUAUAACCGGCGAUACCCGAAUGGGGAAACCCAGUGUGUUUCGACACACUAUCAUGUCAUGAAUACAUAGUGGCAUGAGGCGAACCGGGGGAACUGAAACAUCUAAGUACCCCGAGGAAAAGAAAUCAACCGAGAUUCCCCCAGUAGCGGCGAGCGAACGGGGAGGAGCCCAGAACCUGAAUCGGCUUGUGUGUUAGUGGAAGCGUCUGGAAAGUCGCGCAGCAAAGGGUGAUAGCCCCGUACACUAAAAUGCACAGGUCGUGAGUUCGAUGAGUAGGGCGGGACACGUGACAUCCUGUCUGAAUAUGGGGGGACCAUCCUCCAAGGCUAAAUACUCCUGACUGACCGAUAGUGAACCAGUACCGUGAGGGAAAGGCGAAAAGAACCCCGGCGAGGGGAGUGAAAUAGAACCUGAAACCGUGUACGUACAAGCAGUGGGAGCACCUUCGUGGUGUGACUGCGUACCUUUUGUAUAAUGGGUCAGCGACUUAUAUUUUGUAGCAAGGUUAACCGUAUAGGGGAGCCGUAGGGAAACCGAGUCUUAACUGGGCGAAUAGUUGCAAGGUAUAGACCCGAAACCCGGUGAUCUAGCCAUGGGCAGGUUGAAGGUUGGGUAACACUAACUGGAGGACCGAACCGACUAAUGUUGAAAAAUUAGCGGAUGACUUGUGGCUGGGGGUGAAAGGCCAAUCAAACCGGGAGAUAGCUGGUUCUCCCCGAAAGCUAUUUAGGUAGCGCCUCGUGAACUCAUCUUCGGGGGUAGAGCACUGUUUCGGCUAGGGGGCCAUCCCGGCUUACCAAACCGAUGCAAACUCCGAAUACCGAAGAAUGUUAUCACGGGAGACACACGGCGGGUGCUAACGUCCGUCGUGAAGAGGGAAACAACCCAGACCGCCAGCUAAGGUCCCAAAGUCAUGGUUAAGUGGGAAACGAUGUGGGAAGGCAUAGACAGCCAGGAUGUUGGCUUAGAAGCAGCCAUCAUUUAAAGAAAGCGUAAUAGCUCACUGGUCGAGUCGGCCUGCGCGGAAGAUGUAACGGGGCUAAACCAUGCACCGAAGCUGCGGCAGCGACGCUUAGGCGUUGUUGGGUAGGGGAGCGUUCUGUAAGCCGUUGAAGGUGGCCUGUGAGGGUUGCUGGAGGUAUCAGAAGUGCGAAUGCUGACAUAAGUAACGAUAAAGCGGGUGAAAAGCCCGCUCGCCGGAAGACCAAGGGUUCCUGUCCAACGUUAAUCGGGGCAGGGUGAGUCGACCCCUAAGGCGAGGCUGAAAAGCGUAGUCGAUGGGAAACAGGUUAAUAUUCCUGUACUUGGUGUUACUGCGAAGGGGGGACGGAGAAGGCUAGGCUAGCCGGGCGACGGUUGUCCCGGUUUAAGCGUGUAGGGGGUGUGACCUGGUAAAUCCGGUUGCAUNUAACCCUGAGGCGUGAUGACGAUGCACUACGGUGCAGAAGUAGUUGAUGCCCUGCUUCCAGGAAAAUCCUCUAAGCUCCAGGUAACAUUAAAUCGUACCCCAAACCGACACAGGUGGUCAGGUAGAGAAUACCAAGGCGCUUGAGAGAACUCGGGUGAAGGAACUAGGCAAAAUGGUGCCGUAACUUCGGGAGAAGGCACGCUGGCAUGUAGGUGAAGUCCCUUGCGGAUGGAGCUGAAGCCAGUCGAAGAUACCAGCUGGCUGCAACUGUUUAAUAAAAACACAGCACUGUGCAAACACGAAAGUGGACGUAUACGGUGUGACGCCUGCCCGGUGCUGGAAGGUUAAUUGAUGGGGUCAGCCGCAAGGCGAAGCUCUUGAUCGAAGCCCCAGUAAACGGCGGCCGUAACUAUAACGGUCCUAAGGUAGCGAAAUUCCUUGUCGGGUAAGUUCCGACCUGCACGAAUGGCGUAAUGAUGGCCAGGCUGUCUCCACCCGAGACUCAGUGAAAUUGAACUCGCUGUGAAGAUGCAGUGUACCCGCGGCAAGACGGAAAGACCCCGUGAACCUUUACUAUAGCUUGACACUGAACAUUGAGCCUUGAUGUGUAGGAUAGGUGGGAGGCUUUGAAGCGUGGACGCCAGUCUGCGUGGAGCCAUCCUUGAAAUACCACCCUUUAAUGUUUGAUGUUCUAACUCGGCCCCGUGAUCCGGGGUGAGGACAGUGUCUGGUGGGUAGUUUGACUGGGGCGGUCUCCUCCCAAAGAGUAACGGAGGAGCACGAAGGUUAGCUAAUCACGGUCGGACAUCGUGAGGUUAGUGCAAAGGCAUAAGCUAGCUUGACUGCGAGAGUGACGGCUCGAGCAGGUACGAAAGUAGGUCUUAGUGAUCCGGUGGUUCUGAAUGGAAGGGCCAUCGCUCAACGGAUAAAAGGUACUCCGGGGAUAACAGGCUGAUACCGCCCAAGAGUUCAUAUCGACGGCGGUGUUUGGCACCUCGAUGUCGGCUCAUCACAUCCUGGGGCUGAAGUAGGUCCCAAGGGUAUGGCUGUUCGCCAUUUAAAGUGGUACGCGAGCUGGGUUUAGAACGUCGUGAGACAGUUCGGUCCCUAUCUGCCGUGGGCGUUGGAAGAUUGAGAGGGGUUGCUCCUAGUACGAGAGGACCGGAGUGAACGCACCACUGGUGUUCGGGUUGUCAUGCCAAUGGCAUUGCCCGGUAGCUAAGUGCGGAAAAGAUAAGCGCUGAAAGCAUCUAAGCGCGAAACUUGCCUCAAGAUGAGUCUUCCCUGGGCCUUUAAGGCCCCUGAAGGAACGUUUAAGACUAAGACGUUGA
rnacentral:rRNA from 1 species